CUGGGGGAUUUCUUGCAGCCGGAGGAACAGUGCCAGCUCUUAAGUGUGAACCAGGAGGGAGCAUGAAGAGGAUGAAAGGUCCCUGAAGGGGAAGCCAGAUCACAGUGACAAUGGAAAGGAGCCCUAAAGUGGAGCAGAGUGCAUCCCAUGUGAAUGACAUUGCCAGGGAUACUUCUGGUCAUAGCAGUGUGAAGGGAAGGACUGGGGAGUUUUCAAGCCACAGCUAACAGCACAAAGUUUGUGUUGGUUUGGGUUGAAAACCUCUUUUUGAGAAAUGCUGAGCCCUCAGAAAGAAGAAAAAGCAAACUUGCUCAUAGUAGGCUGAAGUGAAGCUUUGCUUAGGAAGA